UACGGAGGGGGCAAGCGUUAUCCGGAAUUAUUGGGCGUAAAGCGCGCGUAGGCGGUUUUUUAAGUCUGAUAUGAAAGCCCACGGCUCAACCGUGGAGGGUCAUUGGAAACUGGAAGACUUGAGUAUAGAAGAGGAAAGUGGAAUUCCAUGUGUAGCGGUGAAAUGCGUAGAGAUCUGGAGGAACACCAGUGGCGAAGGCGACUUUCUGGUCUGUAACUGACGCUGAGGUGCGAAAGCGUGGGGAUCAAACAGG
rnacentral:rRNA from 1 species